GGCGUGUUGCCAUGUCUCUGGUAGCUACAGCUUUGACCAGAGAUGCUACUUUGUGCCAACAGAGAGAUCUUGGAUGUUUCACGUUUGAUAGUUACCUGUGGACGUGAUUUAGUCGGAACACAGAGCUGUUUUGUUUCAUUAAAAAA
rfam:Triticum urartu cultivar G1812 contig642202, whole genome shotgun sequence.